rnacentral:rRNA from 1 species
AGCAGCCACGGUAAUACGAAGGGUGCAAGCGUUACUCGGAAUUACUGGGCGUAAAGCGUGCGUAGGUGGUGGUUUAAGUCCGUUGUGAAAGCCCUGGGCUCAACCUGGGAAUUGCAGUGGAUACUGGGUCACUAGAGUGUGGUAGAGGAUAGUGGAAUUUCCGGUGUAGCAGUGAAAUGCGUAGAGAUCGGAAGGAACAUCUGUGGCGAAGGCGACUAUCUGGGCCAACACUGACACUGAGGCACGAAAGCGUGGGGAGCAAACAGGAUUAGAUACCCCCGUAGUCCAUGUCUCUUAUACA